AUUGAACGCUGGCGGCAGGCUUAACACAUGCAAGUCGAGCGGGGUGAUGGUGCUUGCACUAUCACUUAGCGGCGGACGGGUGAGUAAUGCUUAGGAAUCUGCCUAUUAGUGGGGGACAACAUCUCGAAAGGGAUGCUAAUACCGCAUACGUCCUACGGGAGAAAGCAGGGGAUCACUUGUGACCUUGCGCUAAUAGAUGAGCCUAAGUCGGAUUAGCUAGUUGGUGGGGUAAGGGCCUACCAAGGCGACGAUCUGUAGCGGGUCUGAGAGGAUGGUCCGCCAGCCUGGGACUGAGAAACGGCCCAGACUCCUACGGGAGGCAGCAGUGGGGAAUAUUGGACAAUGGGGGGAACCCUGAUCCAGCCAUGCCGCGUGUGUGAAGAAGGCCUUAUGGUUGUAAAGCACUUUAAGCGAGGAGGAGGCUCUUUUGGUUAAUACCCAAGAUGAGUGGACGUUACUCGCAGAAUAAGCACCGGCUAACUCUGUGCCAGCAGCCGCAGUAA
rnacentral:rRNA from 1 species